rnacentral:rRNA from 5 species
CCGCGACCCCAGGUCAG